rnacentral:rRNA from 1 species
GACGAACGCUGGCGGCGUGCCUAAUACAUGCAAGUAGAACGCUGAAGGAGGAGCUUGCUUCUCCGGAUGAGUUGCGAACGGGUGAGUAACGCGUAGGUAACCUGCCUGGUAGCGGGGGAUAACUAUUGGAAACGAUAGCUAAUACCGCAUAAGAGUAGAUGUCGCAUGACAUUUGCUUAAAAGGUGCAACUGCACCACUACCAGAUGGACCUGCGUUGUAUUAGCUAGUUGGUGAGGUAACGGCUCACCAAGGCAACGAUACAUAGCCGACCUGAGAGGGUGAUCGGCCACACUGGGACUGAGACACGGCCCAGACUCCUACGGGAGGCAGCAGUAGGGAAUCUUCGGCAAUGGAUGGAAGUCUGACCGAGCAACGCCGCGUGAGUGAAGAAGGUUUUCGGAUCGUAAAGCUCUGUUGUAAGAGAAGAACGAGUGUGAGAGUGGAAAGUUCACACUGUGACGGUAUCUUACCAGAAAGGGACGGCUAACUACGUG